GCGCUGCAGGCUGCGACUUAUCAGGUGCUUUAUAGCUCCCUACCUGCUAUGUGAGACAGGAACACCAGAUGAGGCUGAGGACUGGAUAUUUCCCUCUCCUCCUAUGAAAGAUUCCGCUCUGGAGCCAAAAAAACAGUUUUUCUUGGCGUGUGUAUGUGAAAUCCUGGUGGAAUUCCUUGAAGUAAAAUCCAUGUAAGUUUUGGAGCCACCUAAGAUUGUGACAUCCAGGAGUUUCUUACAGUUAACACUAGCACAAGCUCAGUCUCUAGGUCUCAAAAUGACCAUGUAAGUGUUCAGUUUGUGGAUCCAGACGCUUCUGCUCCAGGCUCAUUGAACUUGGACUUUUGAGUUAAUUCUGUAAUGAGUUAAGACUUUGGGAGACCGUUGGGAAGGCAUGAUUAUGUUUUGCAAUGUGCGAAGGAGGAAGAUUUACCUGCUUCCAUUUCACCUGCUGCCAUGAUUGUACAUUUCCUGAGACCUCCCCAGCUAUGCCUCCUGUACAGCCUGAAGAACUGCCUCGUUGACCAAUACAACUUAGCCUUUUGAUUCAUUGUUUGGAAAAUGCACUCCCUCUCCAUUAUCUGAAAGUUGUGAAGGCUGUAAAUCAACAGAAGAACCACCUGUAGAAGUACAUUUCCACAGCACAAUCCAACCUGGAGUCCUGCUGACAAGAAAUUCUAAAAAAUGCAUCUACAAAGCUUUCCCAUGCAAUGUAGGGGAGAAUGCAGAUGUGGGUGUGAACAAUGCUGAUCUGACAAUUCACAAUAAGGUACAAA
rnacentral:lncRNA from 1 species